rnacentral:rRNA from 1 species
AUUGAACGCUAGCGGCAUGCCUUACACAUGCAAGUCGAACGAGUGGCGGACGGGUGAGUAAUGUAUCGGAACGUGCCUAGUGGCGGGGGAUAACUACUCGAAACAGUGGCUAAUACCGCAUACCCUUGACUGGUCCGUUAUGGGAUUAGCUAGGUGGUGGGGUAAAGGCUCACCAAGGCAACAAUCCGUAGCUGGUUUGAGAGGACGACCAGCCACACUGGGACUGAGACACGGUCCAGACUCCUACGGGAGGCAGCAGUGGGGAAUUUUGCACAAUGGGCGAAAGCCUGAUGCAGCCAUCCCGCGUGUAUGAGAAGGCCUUCGGGUUGUAAAGUACUGUUGGCAGAGAAGCGGUAUCUGCAGAAUAAGCACCGGCUAACUACGUGCCAGCAGCCGCGGUAAUAC